CCUCCGGUCCCCGGUCACAUGGUAGUCAAGCUGUGUCAGCUGACAGAGCACAGCUUCUCUUUUUGAUGCGCUUCCUCCUCCAUCGGCUCAUAGCUCGUUUUGAAACACUAUUAUUUCGCUAUCUUUGGCUUACUGGCGUCAAAUUUUAAAUUUGAGCCAAGUAUACGUUGGCGAUCCAGCAGGUUAGGCCGCCGGAUAGAUGCUGCUAGAGUGGAUGAUGAACGGACACGCCAUUCUUUACACGGGGGUCACUUUGGCCUUCUGGAGCACCAUACUAAUCGUUGGAAUCUGUUACACCAUAUUUGACCUUGGGUUCCGCUUUGAUGUGGCAUGGUUCCUGACAGAAACUUCUCCUUUCAUGUGGGCCAAUCUGGGUAUUGGCUUGGCCAUCUCUCUGUCUGUGGUGGGAGCUGCCUGGGGUAUUUACAUUACUGGCUCAAGCAUCAUUGGUGGUGGUGUCAAGGCUCCACGAAUCAAGACCAAGAAUUUGGUCAGCAUCAUCUUCUGUGAAGCUGUCGCGAUCUAUGGGAUCAUCAUGGCCAUUGUAAUCAGCAACAUGGCUGAGAACUUCAGUGGAACAACCCCUGAAACCAUCGGAGCAAGGAACUACCAAGCUGGUUACUCCAUGUUUGGAGCCGGUCUGACUGUUGGCUUUUCCAACCUCUUCUGUGGCAUCUGUGUCGGCAUCGUGGGCAGCGGAGCAGCUUUGGCAGACGCCCAGAACGCAAGCCUCUUCGUGAAGAUUCUCAUUGUGGAAAUCUUUGGCAGUGCAAUUGGCUUGUUUGGUGUUAUUGUAGCCAUUCUGCAGACGUCGAAAGUAAAGAUGGGUGACUAGAAGAUGCAUUCACACGCCGAGAGGAUAAAAAGACAGUGCUGGAAAAUAAGAUGGAUUAUUGUAUGUAUCCGAAGGUCCAGUCGUCUUGAAGCUUUUCACUUCUCUUUGAAUCGUGAGCCAAUGAGCUGACCCAGGCCACAGGCAUUGAUCCAUGCACUCCUGUAUUGCUUCUAGUCAACCUGCAAUUUGUUUUGAUUUCCACUAGAUGGAGCAGAAAACCGCAACAUUUGUCUUACUGAAUAAACUGGUACUGUACAUACUAAUUACUCAUAUCUUAUGUUACUACUCAACA